rnacentral:lncRNA from 1 species
UUAAAAUAGCAUAUAAAAUGAAAAGUAUUAUUUUUUUCUUGCUUAGAAAUGAUAAAGACACAUGGAGAAGAAAAAAUGCAGAAGUUUAUGUAAUCCCAAUUUCCAACCUAGAUUUAAACAGAGAAGAAAAAUAUAUUGUAUACACAAACUGCAACUUAGAAGAAAGAGUGAAAGAACAAACGAAGGAUAUAGAAAAAGAUGAAACUAGUACUGUGCUAGGUGUUAGAGCAUUAGAACCCAACAUAGAUAUUAAAUGAAAGGAAGCGAAAGUGGUGAAACACAUCAAGUGCAGAAAUGAAGGAAUCAUUGCAGAGUCAAUUG